rnacentral:rRNA from 1 species
GAUGAACGCUGGCGGCGUGCCUAAUACAUGCAAGUCGAGCGAACAGACGAGGAGCUUGCUCCUCUGACGUUAGCGGCGGACGGGUGAGUAACACGUGGAUAACCUACCUAUAAGACUGGGAUAACUUCGGGAAACCGGAGCUAAUACCGGAUAAUAUAUUGAACCGCAUGGUUCAAUAGUGAAAGACGGUUUUGCUGUCACUUAUAGAUGGAUCCGCGCCGCAUUAGCUAGUUGGUAAGGUAACGGCUUACCUAGGCGACGAUGCGUAGCCGACCUGAGAGGGUGAUCGGCCACACUGGAACUGAGACACGGUCCAGACUCCUACGGGAGGCAGCAGUAGGGAAUCUUCCGCAAUGGGCGAAAGCCUGACGGAGCAACGCCGCGUGAGUGAUGAAGGUCUUCGGAUCGUAAAACUCUGUUAUUAGGGAAGAACAAAUGUGUAAGUAACUAUGCACGUCUUGACGGUACCUAAUCAGAAAGCCACGGCUAACUACGU